rnacentral:rRNA from 1 species
AGAGUUUGAUCAUGGCUCAGGACGAACGCUGGCGGCGUGCCUAACACAUGCAAGUCGAACGAGAAACCAGCCUUUGAUUCCUUCGGGAUGAUAAGGCCGGUAGAAAGUGGCGAACGGGUGAGUAACGCGUGGGUAAUCUACCCUGUAAGUGGGGGAUAACCCUCCGAAAGGAGGGCUAAUACCGCAUAACAUCUUCCCUUCAUAAGAAGGAGAGAUUAAAGAUGGCCUCUUUAUAUGCUAUCACUUCAGGAUGAGUCCGCGCCCUAUUAGUUAGUUGGUAGGGUAAUGGCCUACCAAGACCACUAUGGGUAGCCGGUCUGAGAGGAUGUACGGUCACUAUUGGUAUCUGAGAUAUCUGCCCUGACUCCUACGGUGAGGUUUG